rnacentral:rRNA from 1 species
AGUGAACGCUGGCGGUAGGCCUAACACAUGCAAGUCGAACGGCAGCACAGUAAGAGCUUGCUCUUACGGGUGGCGAGUGGCGGACGGGUGAGGAAUACAUCGGAAUCUACUUUUUCGUGGGGGAUAACGUAGGGAAACUUACGCUAAUACCGCAUACGACCUACGGGUGAAAGCAGGGGAUCUUCGGACCUUGCGCGAUUGAAUGAGCCGAUGUCGGAUUAGCUAGUUGGCGGGGUAAAGGCCCACCAAGGCGACGAUCCGUAGCUGGUCUGAGAGGAUGAUCAGCAACACUGGAACUGAGACACGGUCCAGACUCCUACGGGAGGCAGCAGGGGGGAAUAUUGGACAAUGGGCGCAAGCCUGAUCCAGCCAUACCGCGUGGGUGAAGAAGGCCUGCGGGUUGUAAAGCCCUUUUGUUGGGAAAGAAAAGCAGCAGGUUAAUACCCCGCUGUUCUGACGGUACCCAAAGAAUAAGCACCGGCUAACUUCGG